rfam:Eucalyptus grandis cultivar BRASTZ1 unplaced genomic scaffold scaffold_4, whole genome shotgun sequence.
GAGAGAGGAAGGGAGCUUUCUUCAGUCCACCCAUGGGACGUGUUGGGUUUUAAUUAGCUGCCGACUCAUUCAUCCAAAUACCGAGCGAGAGCAAGUAACAGAGCUCCGUAAAUGAAUGGAUGAUGCGGGAGUCUUGUUGAUUCCCAAGCUUUCCGUGAUUGGACUGAAGGGAGCUCCCUCUAUCUACUCC